UGGGGAAUAUUGCACAAUGGGGGAAACCCUGAUGCAGCGACGCCGCGUGAAGGAAGAAGUAUCUCGGUAUGUAAACUUCUAUCAGCAGGGAAGAUAGUGACGGUACCUGUAAGAA
rnacentral:rRNA from 1 species